rnacentral:rRNA from 1 species
UACGUAGGGCGCAAGCGUUGUCCGGAAUUAUUGGGCGUAAAGAGCUCGUAGGCGGCUUGUCACGUCGGGUGUGAAAGCCCGGGGCUUAACCCCGGGUCUGCAUUCGAUACGGGCUAGCUAGAGUGUGGUAGGGGAGAUCGGAAUUCCUGGUGUAGCGGUGAAAUGCGCGGAUAUCAGGAGGAACACCGGUGGCGAAGGCGGAUCUCUGGGCCAUUACUGACGCUGAGGAGCGAAAGCGUGGGGAGCGAACAGG